rnacentral:rRNA from 1 species
AUUGAACGCUGGCGGCAGGCCUAACACAUGCAAGUCGGGCGAGCGGCGGAAGGGCGAGUAAUGUAUGGGGACUGCCUGAUGGCGGGGGAUAACUACUGGAAACGGUAGCUAAUACCGCAUACAAUCCUAUCACCCAUAUGGGAUUAGCUAGUAGGUGAGGUAACGGCUUACCUAGGCGACGAUCCAUCGCUGGUCUGAGAGGAUGAUCAGCUACACUGGGACUGAGAAACGGCCCAUACGCUUGCGGAGGCAGAAGUGGGUAAUAUUGCCGAAUGGGCGGAAGACUCAUGGAGCAAUGACCCGUGUAUGAAGAAGGCCUUCGGGUUGUAAAGUACUUUCAGUCGGGAGGCGUUACCUACAGAAUAAGCACCGGCUAACUCCGUGCCAGCAGCCGCGGUAAUUC